rnacentral:rRNA from 1 species
CAGCAGCCGCGGUAACACGUAGGGUGCGAGCAUUAAUCGGAAUUACUGGGCGUAAAGCGUGCGCAGGCGGUUAUAUAAGACAGAUGUGAAAUCCCCGGGCUCAACCUGGGACCUGCAUUUGUGACUGUAUAGCUACAGUACGGUAGAGGGGGAUGGAAUUCCGCGUGUAGCAGUGAAAUGCGUAGAUAUGCGGAGGAACACCGAUGGCGAAGGCAAUCCCCUGGACCUGUACUGACGCUCAUGCACGAAAGCGUGGGGAGCAAACAGGAUUAGAUACCCGCGUAGUCCCUGUCUCUUAUAC